GGGGAAUAUUGGACAAUGGGCGCAAGCCUGCUCCAGCCAUGCCGCGUGCAGGAAGACGGCCCUACGGGUUGUAAACUGCUUUUAUUCGGGAAUAAACCUAUUUACGUGUAAAGAGCUGCAUGUACCGAAGGAAUAAGGAUCGGCUAACUCCGUGCCAGCAGCCGCGGUAAUACGGAGGAUCCAAGCGUUAUCCGGAUUUAUUGGGUUUAAAGGGUGCGUAGGCGGCUUAUUAAGUCAGGGGUGAAAGACGGUGGCUCAACCAUCGCAGUGCCUUUGAUACUGAUGAGCUUGAAUACACUUGAGGUAGGCGGAAUGUGACAAGUAGCGGUGAAAUGCAUAGAUAUGUCACAGAACACCAAUUGCGAAGGCAGCUUACUAAAGUGUGAUUGACGCUGAGGCACGAAAGCGUGGGGAUCAAA
rnacentral:rRNA from 1 species